rnacentral:rRNA from 1 species
UGGGAAACAGGUUAAUAUUCCUGUACUUGGUGUUACUGCGAAGGGGGGACGGAGAAGGCUAUGUUAGCCGGGCGACGGUUGUCCCGGUUUAAGCAUGUAGGCUGGUUAUCCAGGCAAAUCCGGAUAAUCAAGGCUGAGGUGUGAUGACGAGGCACUACGGUGCUGAAGUAACAAAUGCCCUGCUUCCAGGAAAAGCCUCUAAGCAUCAGGUAACAUCAAAUCGUGCCCCAAACCG